rnacentral:rRNA from 1 species
UCGGGAAUUUUGGGCAAUGGGCGAAAGCCUGACCCAGCAACGCCGCGUGAAGGAUGAAGUAUUUCGGUAUGUAAACUUCGUAAGAAUAGGAAGAAUAAAUGACGGUACUAUUUGUAAGGUCCGGCUAACUACGUGCCAGCAGCCGCGGUAAUACGUAGGGACCAAGCGUUGUUCGGAUUUACUGGGCGUAAAGGGCGCGUAGGCGGUGUGUCAAGUCAGUUGUGAAAUCUCCGAGCUUAACUCGGAACGGUCAACUGAUACUGUCACACUAGAGUACAGAAGGGGCAAUCGGAAUUCUUGGUGUAGCGGUGAAAUGCGUAGAUAUCAAGAGGAACACCUGAGGCGAAGGCGGGUUGCUGGGCUGAUACUGACGCUGAGGCGCGAAAGCUAGGGGUAGCAAACGGGGAUUAGAUACCCUUGUAGUCCCUGAGCGGGCUGGCAAGGCGCAU